GAGUUUGAUCCUGGCUCAGGAUGAACGCUGGCGGCGUGCUUAACACAUGCAAGUCGAACGAGGAAUUUUAAAUGAGACUUCGGUGGAUUUUAAAAUUCUUAGUGGCGGACGGGUGAGUAACGCGUGGGCAACCUGCCCUGUACAGGGGGGACAACAGCUGGAAACGGCUGCUAAUACCGCAUAAGACCACGGAGCCGCAUGGCUCAGUGGGAAAAACUCCGGUGGUACAGGAUGGGCCCGCGUUGGAUUAGGUAGUUGGUGAGGUAACGGCCCACCAAGCCGACGAUCCAUAGCCGACCUGAGAGGGUGACCGGCCACGUUGGGACUGAGACACGGCCCAAACUCCUACGGGAGGCAGCAGUGGGGAAUCUUCCGCAAUGGGCGAAAGCCUGACGGAGCAACGCCGCGUGAGUGAAGAAUUAUUUCGGUAUGUAAAGCUCUAUCAGCAGGGAAGGAAAAUGACGGUACCUGACUAAGAAGCCCCGGCUAACUACGUGCCAGCCGCCGCCGU
rnacentral:rRNA from 1 species